rnacentral:rRNA from 1 species
GUCUGGUGGCGAGUGGCGAACGGGUGAGUAAUGUAUCGGAACGUGCCUAGUAGCGGGGGAUAACUACGCGAAAGCGUAGCUAAUACCGCAUACGCCCUACGGGGGAAAGCAGGGGAUCGCAAGACCUUGCACUAUUAGAGCGGCCGAUAUCGGAUUAGCUAGUUGGUGGGGUAACGGCUCACCAAGGCGACGAUCCGUAGCUGGUUUGAGAGGACGACCAGCCACACUGGGACUGAGACACGGCCCAGACUCCUACGGGAGGCAGCAGUGGGGAAUUUUGGACAAUGGGGGAAACCCUGAUCCAGCCAUCCCGCGUGUGCGAUGAAGGCCUUCGGGUUGUAAAGCACUUUUGGCAGGAAAGAAACGUCAUGGGCUAAUACCCCGUGAAACUGACGGUACCUGCAGAAUAAGCACCGGCUAACUACGUGCCAGCAGCCGCGGUAAUACGUAGGGUGCAAGCGUUAAUCGGAAUUACUGGGCGUAAAGCGUGCGCAGGCGGUUCGGAAAGAAAGAUGUGAAAUCCCAGAGCUUAACUUUGGAACUGCAUUUUUAACUACCGAGCUAGAGUGUGUCAGAGGGAGGUGGAAUUCCGCGUGUAGCAGUGAAAUG